rnacentral:tRNA from 1 species
CUUGUAGCGCAAUGGAAAGCGCGUUGGACCUCUCAUCCAAUGGUCGUGGUUUCGAAUCCCACCUGCAGGC